rnacentral:lncRNA from 1 species
GUGAAUAUACUUCUACUGUCAUUGACAUCGCCAUUCGACGGUUUACAACCGUUGCAUCCCUAAUGCCUUCGACAAAGACAUGUCUCGCCUGCAUCUGGUUCACUUGUUGCUGACCCAUUCUUGGCAUCAAGGUAGCCAACCUGUACAACGUUGCCGAGAAGACAGAUGAAAUAGGAAGAUGUCGUGUUUUUAAUAACACAGCGUUGAUCCCCUCCACUAAGUUUGUAGUCAUUUGACCAUAACGAAA